rnacentral:rRNA from 1 species
CCUACGGAGGGCUGCAGUGGGGAAUAUUGGACAAUGGGGGCAACCCUGAUCCAGCCAUGCCGCGUGUGUGAAGAAGGCCCUCGGGUUGUAAAGCACUUUCAGUGAGGAAGAACGCCUGGUGGUUAAUACCCAUCAGGAAAGACAUCACUCACAGAAGAAGCACCGGCUAACUCCGUGCCAGCAGCCGCGGUAAUACGGAGGGUGCGAGCGUUAAUCGGAAUUACUGGGCGUAAAGCGCGCGUAGGUGGCUUGAUAAGCCGGUUGUGAAAGCCCCGGGCUCAACCUGGGAACGGCAUCCGGAACUGUCAAGCUAGAGUGCAGGAGAGGAAGGUAGAAUUCCCGGUGUAGCGGUGAAAUGCGUAGAGAUCGGGAGGAAUACCAGUGGCGAAGGCGGCCUUCUGGACUGACACUGACACUGAGGUGCGAAAGCGUGGGUAGCAAACAGGAUUAGAUACCCGAGUAGUC